AUUAGGAGAUUGAUGGAGGAUGGGAAGCCACUGAGGCAUUCCCCCAGCAUGCAGAGUGCUGCUGAGAGCCAUGCUGGCUGCUUCCAUGCCAGGCAAGUGGGAGCUAGAGGUGGCUGUGGUCAUGGAUGGAGUCCCUGUGUCGGCAGAACAGAGGAAUCCACAGGGUCUCGUGCAGCCCAGAGCAGUCUCCAGCUCGCUACAUAGGCCAGGAUGAACUUGAAAUACUAAUCCCCUUGCCUCAAUCUCAGAGCUGAUCUGGGAGCAAGCGUCUCUAUGUGCUGAGCCAUCACACUGGCCCAACAAGCUUCCUCUCCUCAUCUCCAAAUACACAGAUGUAUCUCUCCCCGGCAAAACUGUCAAUCACAGCUUAGAUGCCCUCAGCCGUCACGCCUCGGCCUCACAAGUGCUAGGA